UUUCCCAUCACCAACCUUUCUUUCUCAUCUCUAAACUUACUGUUUUCCCACUCUCCAAUGGCGCCACCAAAUGACCCCGCCAAGGCAAUCUACACCUCUCCUAAACCAGUGAAAAACGACACUGUCUUCGACCUCUCCGGUGGAAAGCUCUCCGUGCAGAACGUGCCGCUUCUGUCGGAGAUUCCGGCCAUCGUCACCUUCCAGAGCUUCUCCUCCGUGGUGAAAUCCUCCUCCGCGCCGGCUGAGGUCUUUGACCGAGCACUCUCCCUCUCCCACAAGGGCGGCUUCCUCGGCUUCAGCCAGCGCACGCCGUCCGACCGCCUCACCACCUCCAUCGGAAAAUUCACCGGCCGCGACUUCGUCAGCAUCUUCCGGUUCAAGACGUGGUGGUCCACUCAGUGGGUCGGAACCUCGGGCUCCGACAUCCAGAUGGAAACUCAGUGGAUCAUGCUCGACGUCCCCGAGAUCAAAUCCUACGUCGUCGUCAUCCCAAUCGUCGACGGCAGCUUCCGCUCCGCCUUGCAGCCUGGGGCAGACGGCCACGCGCUCCUCUGCGCCGAGAGCGGCUCCUCCUCCGUGAAGGCAGCUACCCUGGGGGCCAUUGCCUACGUCCACGUCUCCGACAACCCCUACACGCUGAUGCGGGACGCCUACACGGCCGUGCGGUGCCACCUCGGCACGUUCCGCCUCAUCGAGGAGAAGGCGCCCCCACCCCUCGUCAACAAGUUCGGCUGGUGCACUUGGGACGCCUUCUACCUCACCGUGGAGCCCGCCGGGAUCUGGCACGGCGUCAAGGAGUUCGCUGAGGGGGGGCUCUCCCCGCGCUUCCUGAUCAUCGACGACGGAUGGCAGAGCAUCAACGUCGAUGGUCAAGACCCGCACGAGGACGCCAAGAACCUUGUUCUUGGCGGCACUCAGAUGACGGCCCGCCUCCACCGCUUCAAGGAGUGCGAGAAGUUCAGAAAGUAUCAAGGCGGAUCAAUCGUGGGGUCCAAAGCCCCCCCAUUCAACCCAAAGAAGCCCAAAAUGUUGAUCAGCAAGGCCAUCGAGCUUGAGAUGGUUGAAAAGGCUAGAGACAAAGCAGUGCUGGCUGGCGUAACCGAUCUCACCGAGUUUGAAAUUGAAAUUAACAAGUUUCAGAAGGAGCUAGACGAGAUGUACGGUGGAGGGGCCGACGACAAGGCCAAGAGCUGCUCCGGCUGCUCUUGCAAGACGGAGGAGACUGGUAUGAAGGCAUUUACCAAGGAUUUGAGGACUAAUUUCAAAGGACUGGAUGAUAUAUAUGUCUGGCAUGCAUUGGCUGGUGCGUGGGGUGGGGUUAGGCCCGGGGCGACUCACCUCAAGGCUAAGAUCGUGCCUUGCAAGCUCUCGCCGGGGCUCGAUGGGACCAUGACGGAUCUUGCCGUCGUCAAGAUCAUCGAGGGCUCUAUUGGCCUCGUCGACCCUGAUCAAGCUGAUGACUUCUAUGACUCUAUGCACUCUUAUCUUGCUAAAGUUGGGAUCACAGGAGUCAAAGUGGAUGUUGUUCAUACACUUGAAUAUGUAAGUGAAGACUAUGGGGGCAGGGUUGAUCUUGCAAAGGCUUAUUACAAGGGUUUAUCCAAAUCCCUUAACAAGAAUUUCAACGGAACUGGUCUUAUUUCCAGCAUGCAGCAAUGUAAUGACUUCUUCUUCCUUGGAACUGAGCAGAUUUCAAUGGGAAGAGUCGGGGAUGACUUUUGGUUCCAAGAUCCAAAUGGCGAUCCAAUGGGAGUUUAUUGGCUACAAGGGGUCCACAUGAUCCAUUGUGCCUACAACAGUAUGUGGAUGGGACAAUUCAUCCAACCAGAUUGGGACAUGUUUCAGUCUGACCAUUGUUGUGCUAAAUUUCACGCUGGAUCAAGAGCUAUUUGUGGAGGCCCAGUUUAUGUCAGUGACUCUUUGGGAGGCCAUGAUUUUAAUCUUCUGAAAAAGCUAGUUUUCCCAGAUGGAACAAUCCCUAAAUGUGUGCAUUUUGCUCUCCCAACCAGAGAUUGCCUCUUUAAGAACCCCCUCUUUGAUAGCAAGUCCAUCCUCAAGAUUUGGAAUUUCAACAAGUAUGGAGGUGUCAUCGGGGCCUUCAACUGCCAGGGCGCUGGGUGGGACCCCAAGGAGCAGAGGAUCAAGGGUUAUUCCGAGUGCUACAAGCCACUCACCGGCUCAGUCCACGUGUCCAAUCUUGAGUGGGAUCAAAAGGCCGAAGCAGCUAGCCUCGGGGAAGCCGAGGAGUACGCUGUCUACCUAACUGAGGCAGAGAAGAUUGUUGUGAGUACAAAGGAAUCGGAUCCUAUUUCGGUGAUUCUGCAGCCGUCCACGUUUGAAAUCUUUAGCUUUGUCCCGAUCAAAAAGAUCGGCCAAGAUGCUAAAUUCGCGCCCAUUGGCUUGACCAAUUUGUUUAACAGUGGAGGGACGAUCCAAGGACUGGUGUACGACGAGUUCGUAGCCAAGAUCGAGGUUAAGGGUGAAGGUACAUUCUUGGCGUAUUCUAGCAUUGUCCCUAAGAAAUCGUAUGUCAAUGGAGUUGAGACUGUUUUCCUAUGGUCCGUAGAUGGGAAGGUGCAAGUUAGCAUUCCUUGGUAUGAAGAGUGUGGAGGAAUUUCUAACAUAACUUUUGUGUAUUAAUCUCGGGUCGGGUCGGGUCGUUUCUCGGUAGCUCAGUAGCAUGAGUGAUUGGUCGUAAGUUCAAAUGCAAUAAUCUAUUUAGGCUUCCGAGUUUGAUAAGUUUGAUCAUGAAGCAUAUGUAAGAAAGUAAGUGUGACUGCCUGAUGGUGCACCAGGCUAAGAAAUUAUGAUAGGGUUUUGUUUUGUAUAAAUAAUGUCCCGUUUAAGAGGUCAAGAGUUACCUAUGGAAGGGAUGUCCUGUUCAACAUUCUGCUGUGCAAGAAUUGCUCUUGCAGCUUUAAUCUUAAUUUUUCUAAUUCCAGAUUUGCUAUCAA